rnacentral:rRNA from 1 species
CCUACGGGUGGCAGCAGUAGGGAAUAUUGCUCAAUGGGGGAAACCCUGAAGCAGCAACGCCGCGUGGAGGAUGAAGGUUUUCGGAUUGUAAACUCCUUUUGUUAGAGAAGAAAAUGACGGUAUCUAACGAAUAAGCACCGGCUAACUCCGUGCCAGCAGCCGCGGUAAUACGGAGGGUGCAAGCGUUAUUCGGAAUCACUGGGCGUAAAGGGGGCGUAGGCGGGAUAGCAAGUCAGAGGUGAAAUCCCAUGGCUUAACCAUCGAACUGCAUUUGAUACUGUUAUUCUAGAGUAUGGGAGAGGUAGGCGGAAUUCUUGGUGUAGCGGUGAAAUCCGUAGAGAUCAGGAGGAAUACCCAUUGCGAAGGCAGCCUACUAGGUCAUAACUGACGCUGAGGCGCGAAAGCGUGGGGAGCAAACAGGAUUAGAUACCCCAGUAGUC